GGUGUGGUUGUGAUAUAGGUUGCUGAUUCUAAAUGAGGUAAUUGGAUUGCAAAUCCGGUUAGACCAGUUCGACUCUGGUUCGCGCCUCCA
rnacentral:tRNA from 1 species